UACAGAGACUGCAAGCGUUAUUCGGAUUCACUGGGCGUAAAGGGUGCGCAGGCGGCCAAGUGUGUUAGGCGUGAAAGCCUGAGGCUUAACCUCAGAAUUGCACCUAAAACUACAUGGCUAGAGCAUUGGAGAGGGUAGCGGAAUUCUCGGUGUAGCAGUGAAAUGCGUGGAUAUCGAGAAGAACACUUAGGGCGUAGGCAAGACUCUGGACAAAUGCUGACGCUCAUGCACGAAGGCUAGGGUAGCGAACGGG
rnacentral:rRNA from 1 species